AUACUGCAAUGGAUCCUGAAGGUGCUGCAGGCUGUAAACUGACUGCCCUCCGUUUGGCACAUUCUCUCUAGAAGUAAGAUCUGAGAGGAGCUCCAUCAUGGCUGCCACAGAGACUCGGAGAAGUGAGAAGAGCUAGGCAGCUUCCUCUUUAUCCAAAGGAUGCCCUUCUACUAGAAUUGGUCCGAUGUUUUCCUCAUGGUGAGACUGGAGUUAUGGGUUUUGAAGAGGAAGAUUACAGAGAAUUUCCACUGAUGCCAUUGCUUGAAGGGAGGCUUG
rnacentral:lncRNA from 1 species